rnacentral:rRNA from 1 species
AGUGAACGCUGGCGGUAGGCCUAACACAUGCAAGUCGAACGGCAGCACAGGAGAGCUUGCUCUCUGGGUGGCGAGUGGCGGACGGGUGAGGAAUACAUCGGAAUCUACUCUGUCGUGGGGGAUAACGUAGGGAAACUUACGCUAAUACCGCAUACGACCUACGGGUGAAAGCAGGGGACCUUCGGACCUUGCGCGAUUGAAUGAGCCGAUGUCGGAUUAGCUAGUUGGCGGGGUAAAGGCCCACCAAGGCGACGAUCCGUAGCUGGUCUGAGAGGAUGAUCAGACACACUGGAACUGAGACACGGUCCAGACUCCUACGGGAGGCAGCAGUGGGGAAUAUUGGACAAUGGGCGCAAGCCUGAUCCAGCCAUACCGCGUGGGUGAAGAAGGCCUUCGGGUUGUAAAGCCCUUUUGUUGGGAAAGAAAUCCAGCUGGUUAAUACCCGGUUGGGAUGACGGUACCCAAAGAAUAAGCACCGGCUAACUUCGUGCCAGCCGCCGCGGUAA